GACGAACGCUGGCGGCGUGCCUAAUACAUGCAAGUAGAACGCUGAGGACUGGUGCUUGCACUGGUCUAAGGAGUUGCGAACGGGUGAGUAACGCGUAGGUAACCUACCUCAUAGCGGGGGAUAACUAUUGGAAACGAUAGCUAAUACCGCAUGACAAUAGGGUACACAUGUACCCUAUUUAAAAGGGGCAAAUGCUUCACUAUGAGAUGGACCUGCGUUGUAUUAGCUAGUUGGUAAGGUAACGGCUUACCAAGGCGACGAUACAUAGCCGAUCUGAGAGGACGGUCCCCCACACUGGUACUGAGACACGGACCAG
rnacentral:rRNA from 1 species